rnacentral:rRNA from 1 species
GAUGAACGCUGGCGGCGUGCCUAAUACAUGCAAGUCGAGCGAACAGACGAGGAGCUUGCUCCUCUGACGUUAGCGGCGGACGGGUGAGUAACACGUGGAUAACCUACCUAUAAGACUGGGAUAACUUCGGGAAACCGGAGCUAAUGCCGGAUAAUAUAUUGAACCGCAUGGUUCAAUAGUGAAAGACGGUUUUGCUGUCACUUAUAGAUGGAUCCGCGCCGCAUUAGCUAGUUGGUAAGGUAACGGCUUACCAAGGCAACGAUGCGUAGCCGACCUGAGAGGGUGAUCGGCCACACUGGAACUGAGACACGGUCCAGACUCCUACGGGAGGCAGCAGUAGGGAAUCUUCCGCAAUGGGCGAAAGCUUGACGGAGCAACGCCGCGUGAGUGAUGAAGGUCUUCGGAUCGUAAAACUCUGUUAUUAGGAAAGAACAAAUGUGUAAGUAACUAUGCACGUCUUGACGGUACCUAAUCAGAAAGCCACGGCUAACUACGUG